rnacentral:rRNA from 1 species
AUUGAACGCUGGCGGCAUGCCUUACACAUGCAAGUCGAACGGCAGCACGGGAGCUUGCUCCUGGUGGCGAGUGGCGAACGGGUGAGUAAUACAUCGGAACGUACCCAGGAGUGGGGGAUAACGUAGCGAAAGUUACGCUAAUACCGCAUAUUCUGUGAGCAGGAAAGCGGGGGAUCGCAAGACCUCGCGCUCUUGGAGCGGCCGAUGUCGGAUUAGCUAGUUGGUGAGGUAAAAGCUCACCAAGGCGACGAUCCGUAGCAGGUCUGAGAGGAUGAUCUGCCACACUGGGACUGAGACACGGCCCAGACUCCUACGGGAGGCAGCAGUGGGGAAUUUUUGACAAUGGGGGCAACCCUGAUCCAGCCAUGCCGCGUGAGUGAAGAAGGCCUUCGGGUUGUAAAGCUCUUUCGGCGGGGAAGAAAUGGCAACGGCUAAUAUCCGUUGUUGAUGACGGUACCCGCAUAAGAAGCACCGGCUAACUACGUGCCAGCCGCCGCGGUAA